rnacentral:tRNA from 1 species
GCGGCAUGUGCGCUGGAUGCGCUGCCGGGCCUUCUAAGCCCAGCGUGCCGGGUUCGAUUCCCGGGUGCCGCAC